AAGGAUGAAGUUGCUGCUCCCAAAAAUCUUAAACCCGAGUUUUGCUCAAUAAAUGUGUUUGCUAAUGGGAAGCCCUGGACUCCUCCUGUUCACAUCAUGAUUCCCAAGUACGCACUGAAGUGGAUGGAUGACGUGAUCACCAUGGUGGCAGCGAAAAUGCCAAAACACUUGAAAGUGAACAGGCUUUACACACUUGAUGGCAAACUCAUUGAAGAUCCACAGGAGCUAAAGAGUCAUGAGUUUUACGUUGCUGUCGGCACUGAACAAUUUAUAGUUGCCCCAUAUGGCCAAAUC